UGUUUGCAUAAUAGCUGUAUAGCUUCUAUGCUUCGUUCGGUGAGUGAGAGGGCCUCACUCACCGAACCCUACAUCCCUGACCCUUCAAGAGUGAGGGUGGAAAAAUGAAGGUAAUAUCUUGACGCCAAGAACAAUAGACGACUUACCACUAGCCAUAGCUGGCCAUUAACUC